GGACGAAGAAGAAAGGAAAAAUGGAAGUGGAAGAGGAGGAGGAGCCAAGCCACAAUAUUUAGUCUUGUAUAAUUUCAUGGUAUGAUGGACGCAGCUGAGGUGGGCCUCCGCUGUGGCCAGGCAGUUCAGCCUUGCCGUCAACCCUCCAUGUGAUGAGUGAGUUGCCGGUUGAGCUGGAGUGUCCUGGUAUUGUAGACAACCAUCUGUGUAACCUUUUUGUGAAGAGGUCCGGUGUGACCCCUGGCAGGUUCGUGAUGGUGUUCGGCACAGCGUUGAAGAGGUCCGCAGAAAACAACACGCCGAUUUAUUUGAAGUCAAGGACGGAGAUUAAAACGGCCUUGAAAAACACCACACCUGUUUUGUCCACCGCCAUCACCACCUUUUCCCAGAUCAAGGAAGUGUAUUACAGACUCACACAUAAGGAAGAGGUGUGAGUACCUGUAUCACAGGUCACACCGUGGGACUGACACCGCUGGAGCAACCCUUCGGAAUAAAGGUUGCGUGGUAGGUGCGUUCACUGGUCUGGGCUGUGUUGGUGCGUGUUCUGAAGAGAUGACCGCAGAAACGCUGGCUGCUGAUGACUACAGCCGCACAGAGGUAGUGUACUGUACAAGCUGGAUGGAAGUAUGCAAACCUCGCAAUGAAGAUGGAAAAGUUGAGGAAAUGGUUCUUCUAUCUUGA